GUUCCCGAUAACAAAGGCAUGUGAAAAAUUGAUGCACCGCUCAACGUUAAGAUAUUCCUUUGGUACUUACGUCGCGAAGUAGUUCUUACAAGAGAUAAUUUGGCUAAAAGAAACUGGCAUGACAAUAGAAGUUAUUGCUUUUGUCACAAGGAUGAGAUUGUUCGGCACCUUUUCUACGAAUGUCGCUUUGUCCGUGUUGUAUGGUCUAUUAUACAAGCGGCUUCAGGGUUUUUCCCGCCUCAAAUAUAUGACAUAUGUUUGGUGGUUGGCUAUGGGGCAUUAGGAAAGACCUAA
rnacentral:rRNA from 1 species